GAUGAACGCUGGCGGCGUGCCUAAUACAUGCAAGUCGAGCGAACGGAUGAGAAGCUUGCUCCUCUGAUGUUAGCGGCGGACGGGUGAGUAACACGUGGAUAACCUACCUAUAAGACUGGGAUAACUUCGGGAAACCGGAGCUAAUACCGGAUAAUAUUUUGAACCGCAUGGUUCAAUAGUGAAAGACGGUUUUGCUGUCACUUAUAGAUGGAUCCGCGCUGCAUUAGCUAGUUGGUAAGGUAACGGCUUACCAAGGCAACGAUGCAUAGCCGACCUGAGAGGGUGAUCGGCCACACUGGAACUGAGACACGGUCCAGACUCCUACGGGAGGGAGCAGUAGGGAAUCUUCCGCAAUGGGGGAAAGCCUGACGGAGCAACGCCGCGUGAGUGAUGAAAGUCUUCGGAUCGUAAAACUCUGUUAUUAGGGAAGAACAUAUGUGGAAGUAACUGUGCACAACUUGACGGUACCUAAUCAAGAAGCCACGGCUAAAUACGUG
rnacentral:rRNA from 1 species